UACGGGGGGGGCAAGCGUUGUUCGGAAUUACUGGGCGUAAAGGCUCGUAGGCGGCCAACUAAGUCAGACGUGAAAUCCCUCGGCUUAACCGGGGGAACUGCGUCUGAUACUGGAUGGCUUGAGUUUGGGAGAGGGACGCGGAAUUCCAGGUGUAGCGGUGAAAUGCGUAGAUAUCUGGAGGAACACCGGUGGCGAAGGCGGCGUCCUGGACCAACACUGACACUGAGGAGCGAAAGGCGUGGGGAGCGAACAGG
rnacentral:rRNA from 1 species